rnacentral:rRNA from 1 species
CAUAAACGUUGCCAGCUAGCGAUCCGCAGCUGUUUUUACAUUAGGCUCUGCGGGAAGCUUCCGGGAAACCAAAGCGUUUGGGUUCCGGGGGAAGUAUGGUUGCAAAGCUGAAACUUAAAGGAAUUGACGGAAGGGCACCACCAGGAGUGGAGCCUGCGGCUUAAUUUGACUCAACACGGGAAAUCUCACCAGGCCCGGACACGGGAAGGAUUGACAGAUUGAGAGCUCUUUCCCGAUUCGGUGGGUGGUGGUGCAUGGCCGUUCUUAGUUGGUGGAGUGAUUUGUCUGGUUAAUUCCGAUAACGAACGAGACUCUGUCCUGUUAAAUAGUUCCAGCUUCCUCUGAUGCGCUGGAAAUUUUUUUUAGAGGGACUGGCGGCGUCUAGCCGCACGAGAUUGAGCAAUAACAGGCAUGUGAUGCCCUUAGAUGUUCUGGGCCGCACGCGCGUUACACUGAAGGGAUCAGCGUGUCUUCCCUUCCCGAGAGGGACGGGUAACCCGCUGAACCCCCUUCGUGGCAGGGAUCGGGGCUUGCAAUUAUUCCCCGUGAACCAGGAAUUCCCUGUAAGCGCAAGUCAUAAGGUUGCGUUGAUUACGUCCCUCCCCUUUGUACACACCGCCCGUCGCUACUACCGAUUGAACGUUUUAGUGAGGUAUUUGGAUUGGGCCUCUGGGGGUUCGCGCCUGUAGUUCGCCCGAGAAGACUCACAAACU